rnacentral:tRNA from 1 species
GGGAGUAUGGUGUAACGAUUAACAUACCGGUCUCCAAAACCGGAUGAUUUAGGUUCAAAUCCUAAUGCUCCUGCCA